CGACAGACUACCAGACCCUGCGGAUCGGGGGCUUGGUGUUUGCCGUGGUCUUCUUCUCCGUCGGGAUCCUCCUCAUCCUGAGUCGCAGGUGCAAGUGCAGCUUCAGCCAGAAGCCCAGGGCCCCGGGACACGAGGAGGCCCAGGCGGAGAACCUCAUCACUGCGAAUGCAGCAGAGCCUCAGAAAGCGGAGAACUGAGGGGCCCUUGCGGAGAACUGGAGGCAGCCGCCCGGACCUUUAGAUGCGAACGUCAAUGCUUAAAACCAGCCUCUCCAGCAGCAGCUCUUUCCCGAGAAGUCAAGGACCCGCGUCUCCCGCAUCCCCAUCCCCGCGAAAAGUCCUCCACUUAGUGCUGCGACUGAACCCGCCUUCCCACGCAGCCGUGACGUGUCCACUCCCGUGACGUGUGUGUGUCUGUGUGUGUGUGUGUGUGUGAUGCCUGUGGUCUUUGUGGCUGCUUGUCUGUGGCUGUCGCUGUUUCCUGAACCUGGACUCACCUCCUGGGCCGGAGCUGAGCCGCGUCACCAUCAGCUCCUCCUGCUCCCCGUGCGCCCCACCCCCACCCCCGGUCCGGGGUCUGCUCGCUCCUGAGACCAGUCCCCUCUCUUGACGUAGAGGUGGUGAGGGUGGGGCCCGGGAGGGAGUCUCCACUUGUGGGGACUUGGGAAGCUGUGCACCAGCUUUGUGACCUUCCUCAUGGCCUCUGCCCUCCUUUUCAAGAACCUGUUUCCACAUCCCGGCCCUGACCCGGCCUGUUCUGAGGGUCUCUUAGCAACGGGGGCUCACAGCCAGGAGCUGGGAGCCAGCUUGCUUCAGGCCGCAACCCUCCCCGGCCUCUUCUCCUGGGGGUCCCCCGGCUGCCCCUGCCCCGCCCCGUGCAGAGGCCAGGCAGGCAGGCCCGGCCCCCCUGGGAAUGUGCCCUUGCAUAUCUUCUCAGCAAUAACCCCCUGGGCUCUGGACCCCCACCCCCGCCCCCUCCCAGCCUCCGAGACUCUGACUUAGAGCCCAGCUCCUCUGUUCUCGGACCCCCACCCUCGCGCUGGGUCUGGGGCAGGCGAUCCAUUCUGUUGGGGCCGGCUUCCCGGGAGGCAGCGGGGAGAGCCAGGGGCCUCCAUCUGUCCAUGCCAGGGGUCCUCAAACUACGGCCCGCGGGCCACAUGCGGCCGCCGAAAACAUUUAUGCGGCCCGCCGGGCGUUUUU